UACGUAGGCAGCGAGCGUUGUUCGGAAUUACUGGGCGUAAAGAGUGUGUAGGCGGUGCUCUAAGUUCGGUGUGAAAUCUCCUGGCUUAACUGGGAGGGUGCGCCGGAAACUGGAGUGCUUGAGCGUGGGAGAGGAAAGCGGAAUUCCUGGUGUAGCGGUGAAAUGCGUAGAUAUCAGGAGGAACACCGGUGGCGAAGGCGGUUCUCUGGGCCUUACCUGACACUGAGGAGCGAAAGCGUGGGGAGCGAACAGG
rnacentral:rRNA from 1 species